rnacentral:tRNA from 2 species
GCGCUCGUAGCUCAGCUGGAUAGAGCACCGGUUUGCGGUACCGGCGGUCAGGAGUUCGAAUCUCUUCGGGCGCACCA